AUUGAACGCUGGCGGCAGGCCUAACACAUGCAAGUCGAGCGAGCGGCGGACGGGUGAGUAAUGUAUGGGGACUGCCCGAUAGAGGGGGAUAACUACUGGAAACGGUAGCUAAUAUCGCAUAAUGUCUGAUAACCCAUAUUGGAUUAGCUCGUAGGUAAGGUAAUGGCUUACCUAGGCGACGAGCCCUAGCUGGUCUGAGAGGAAGAUCAGCCACACUGGGACGGAGACACGGCCCAGACUCCUACGGAGGCAGCAGUGGGGAAUAUUGCACAAUGGGCGCAAGCCUGAUGCAGCCAUGCCGCGUGUAUGAAGAAGGCCCUAGGGUUGUAAAGUACUUUCAGUUGGGAGGCGUUACCGACAGAAGAAGCACCGGCUAACUACGUGCCAGCCGCCGCGGUAAUUC
rnacentral:rRNA from 1 species